rnacentral:rRNA from 1 species
AUACGGAGGGUGCAAGCGUUAUCCGGAAUCAUUGGGUUUAAAGGGUCCGCAGGCGGAUUAAUAAGUCAGUGGUGAAAUCCUCUCGCUCAACGAGAGAACUGCCAUUGAAACUGUUAGUCUUGAAUUCGGUCGAAGUAGGCGGAAUGUGUCAUGUAGCGGUGAAAUGCAUAGAUAUGACACAGAACACCGAUAGCGAAGGCAGCUUACUAGACCUGGAUUGACGCUCAUGGACGAAAGCGUGGGGAGCAAACAGGAUUAGAAACCCCAGUAGUCC